UCUCCAUUUUAUAUGACAAGUGCUUAUUUUGUUGACUUUGCAAGUCGCCUUGUAUUUUUAAGUAAAAGUGGUGAUGCACACAGCAAGCAUCACAUAAAGUUUAGGGAGAAUGGGUACAAUAAUUUUCCUGAGAUUGUGUUUUGGAACCUUAGGAACUCUAAGGCCACUCCUGUUCCAUCCAAUCAGAGUGGGGUGGCUCUUGUAUCUCCCAUGAAUUACCCUGUACUUUGCAAAAUAUGGUAAGGCUACAAUAGAAAUAAAUUAUAUUUUUCUUUAAUCUGGGGAGUUCCUUUGUCUAUCACAUAUUGACCCUUAGUUAAUGUACUAAUUGGAAUUGGAAGUUAGAUAUACGAAUUGGGUACUCAGGUCCUUUCUUUUAGGGUGCAGGGGUUUGAAGUUAUUGUUAUUGAUAUUGUAAUUUUGCAUGCAGUCCAGCAUAGCAGUGGACAUUUUGUAGGUCUGUGGUCUUCCUCUUGAGUUAUAAGAGCAUAAAUUUGCAUAAAAAGUUUGGAUGUCUUUUGAUGCUGUAAAUGUGGCUGGAUUUUUAAAUGUCCUAUAUGAAUUAUGGCAUAUGUUUUAGAUCAUAAGAACAUUGUUAUUACAGUGCAUGUUAAUUAAAAUGUCUUUUUAAGUCUUGGUCAUAUACAACAUUUAUGAUUUAUGUAAUCUAUCAACCAAAACCAUGUCUAGUAUUCUGCAUAAAUUAUUAGAAUCCAAACAGAAUGCUAAGAAAAUGCUUGCAUUUAAAUAUUUUGUUAUAAAUUUUAAGGAUAUUAAUUUAUUUUUAAUUCUUGUGUUCCUUUGGUGUUUAUCACUUUAGUCAUAAUGUCUUUAUUAUAUGCUUUAUUUGAUGAAUUCCCCUUUGAUGUGCAAAAAACUACCAAAAUUCUCUAUGCAACGAGGCGUGCCCUUAUGAACAUCUCAUUUUUCUAAGUGUUGAUAGUUAUACCAUGUAAAUGCAGAUGCUUUAGUUACCACUUGAGCUGCAAAAAUUCCUACAAGUUAGAAGCUGCCAUGUUGAGAACUUAGGAAUGAAUAAUCCAGACAUGUAGACCAAUUGCAAGAUGUUUUUGAUUAUCUCUUUUUCAAUUAUUGCCAUGAUGGUAUACAAAUAUAGAUGUGAAGAAACACAUUGUAGUGGAUUUCUUUGUAAAUGAAUUUUUUCCUUCUUAUGAUGAGCAAGUAAUAGAAUAAGUAGUCGUCAAGAUACUUAUAAUGGAUUUCUUUGUAGUUUUUCAACUUCCUUUAGAUACUUUACAACAAGAGACCUGUUUGUAAUACAUGAAACCGGGUUGUAUAUCAUUUCAAGUUACCGUUAUUAUGAGGUAAAAAACACUACAUUUAGCUCCAAGUGCAAGUAGGUGGUAUGAACCUGUGGAAAAAUGGUUUCAUAUAGCAUUCAGAUCAAGAGAGCUAAAAUAUUAUAACACCCAAAAUUUGCCCAAUAAAAAAAAAAAUUACAUUAGUUUUUGUAUCAAUUGUGUAAAAUAUGAAAUUUCAAAUUUAAAAAUAUUUUAAAUUAAAUGGCUAAGAGGGGUCAUAUAUGAUGUUUGUUCAACUGAAUGACUUCCUAGGGCUAACUCAACUAUAUGGCCAUGUGCUAACUACUUCUUGGUAUUGCAUUUUUCAAGCUAUAAACAAGUUUUGUCCAUGUGUUUAAAGAUUGCUUUGAGAAAAUUCUGCAGGUACAUAAUGCCUUUCAUUUCUACAUAAGUCUAUCACUAAUACAAUCAUCACAUAAUGUAUAUAGCUUUUUAUUUUAUUUUUUCCCCUUUCCUUUGUUUUAUUGUCCAAUUUAUUUUAUUUAAGUUAACUCAUUGCUUCUUCUUUUUUCUCCUUAGAAAAAUACAAAAGCAUGUGCUUAUAAAAACAAAGUUAUUGAAAAUUGGAGGACAUUGAGAUCUUGUUUGGGAGGAAUAGAGCUCCUAGAGUUGGUGCAAAAUAUAUGGACGAUGCAAUUGAAGUUAUGACUGAGGAAGGAGAAAAGUGAUGAAUUCUCCUAUUGCACAACAACACGUCAAUAUUUGGUAUCAAUAAGUUAUGCAAUUGAACCUUGUCAAAGAAAAAAGAGUAGAAAAGAUACACUUUGAAUCAAUUUUUUAGUUUGAGAUUUUGAAUGUUGUUAGAAAAAAACCCAUGUAUUUGUACUCUCUCUCUCUCUAAAAUAUUUUAGUUGGCAAGAGUUGGCAAGACAUUUUUUUAGUUGGCUAUGAUGGAAGAUAUUUAGUCAUUAUCUUGUCAAUU